AUUUCGUAUUUAAACUGCCCAAGGCGUUUUGCCUCAUGACAUUACAAAACGAUAUGAAGAUAUUUCUGAGUGUCUUGUUUGUUGUGGUUGCGGUUUCUGCCGUUCCGGUGCCAGUAACUAGUGAUGAAGCCGAAACAUACAUCGGAGUAUAUUCGGAUGAUCCCAGCAAAUUUAUUGGUCACGUGCAAUAUAUCGAUGGACAGAACAGCAACGGUCAUAACAAUUAUGGGUAUGGACCACCCUCUUACUGGCGACCGCCAUAUGGACCACUAUAUCCAGGGUACUACCCACCGAUAGGAAUGUGGCCGCCGGUUCACGGUAACGGACCGAUUUACGGACAGAAUGAAUACUGAGGGAGUUAUGACGGAGCGCAGGUCUGAACCUUUCAUGUUAAUGAACAUCUUGGGUAAUGAAGUGCAACCUAGUAUUGUUUAAGUUGUUAUAUGCGCAUCCAAUACAUUUUAAAUUUUUGCAAAAGACUUUCAACGGAUCAUCGAAAUAAAUAUCAAUUAGGGACCUAAUCUUUGAAAAAAAUUUGCACCAUUUCCGUAUUCCAAAUGUUAAUUAUAAGCGGCUACAGGGUCGCCAUGUAAUGACUACCACCUAGCUUUAGUUUUGGCAUGACACAAUAUCAA